rnacentral:lncRNA from 1 species
CUCAAAAUAGAGAAGAAGCCUAUCAAAGCACCCGUGACUUUCAGGGAAAUUAUCAUAACAGCCGUCAGGGAAAUUUUAACGGCAGUAAUAGUAACAACUGGAACAAAGGAAAAGCAACGGAGGGCCGAACUGAUGCCACUCUCAAAUUGAAGUGCUUUUUAUGUGAAGGACCUCAUCGGGUAUCGGAGUGUCCUCAGAAGCGGAUGGUGAAUGCAUAUUGUCAAUUAGCAAGUGGCGGGCCAAGUUCAAAACAAGAGGUCCCGCAAGCUAAUUGUAAUAAUGAGACUGACUCUGAAGAGGAUGAGGAAGUAGUUGGGGCAUUUUCACAUCGGUGCAACACACUAUCGCAUCGGGUUGCUGAAAAGGAUGAUGUCCCAUUGAAAGAGGCAAAGAUGGAAGAAGCGAAGGCUCGUAUUUGUAGGGCCAAAGGCUUAAUGUUCAUUGAUGUAAAAAUCAAUGGGAAGCCAAUCAGGGCUAUGGUGGAUACUGG